GUGGAAGGCUUCAAGGAUAGAGUGGCCUCUGGGGUUGAUGGGAAAUGUUAAUGCUUCCUGCUAGUCUCUGAUGAAGACUGGGGAAGAGGAUGGAACAUGGAUAUUGUGGGGAUGUGUGCUUAGUGAAGCAUGGCAGCUCAGCUUGACAUCCAGCAUCUCUCUCUCUCUCUCUCUCUCUCUCUCUCUCUUUUUUUCUUUCUUUAUUACUUCACAUUUUCCACUCUUAUUGGAACAUGGAUAAGCCUUCCUUUCUUAUAAGCCAGGCCUUAAGAAGAUCUCCUAUUUCCUCCUGUUAAUGGUGGAGCUUGAAAUCACCUGAUCCAUCACUGUCAGCUUCAUGGCGAAUGCCGUCUUCGUUUUGAUGGAUCGCUUGCUGCUGGUGAACUUUUCAGCAUAGCGGGUGCCAUGUCUCGCUCCGUCUAUGUCUUUGUGCUCCAUGACAAGCCAGUGUCACGGGAAAGAAAAAAAACAUUCUAUCAAUUUUCUGCACUCAAACUGUAUUGGAGUGUACUGAGCAGACUGCGCACUGCAGGGGAGAAUGACUAAUACCUACGCAGCAGCUAUCCUGGUUUCCCUAAGACAUUCUCCAGACAUCAGUGUGUGUGUUCAGACAUAAAGGGCUGUCUCUGCCCCUAGACAGAUGCCCAGACUGAGUGAUUCAGCACUACUGAAGCACAGCCAAGACCACUCUGUCCUGUGAUGACAAGAGCCAUAACGUCCUGUGAGAUGCUCCUGGACAGAACAAGCAUCUGUCAAAAUAGGCCGGCCUCAGUGGACGCCUCGCUAAUGGCAGCCGAAUCGAGAUAGAGAGGAAACAAGAGGACAAGCAGGAGAUACAGAGGACAAGGAGGAUUCGUUUAGCAUGAAGUUUGUGAUUCUUUUUUUAUUUAUUUUUUGCAUAGAAAUUUGCAAAAAAUGACACGUUCUGAUAAUCGAGAUAGAGAGGAAACAGUCGGACAAGCAGGAGAUACAGAGGACAAGGAGGACUCAUUUUGCAUGAAGUUUUUUUGUUUCUGUUGGGUUUUUUUGCAUAGAAAUUAGGGGAAAAAAAUGACGUCCUGAUAAAAAAAUCAGGAAUGAGAUGCUACGUUUUCUACAAUUAAAAUUAGUUGUAACAUGCAGUUCAUGGAUAGUCAUGGUGGAGUACAUAUACAUGCUGGUGCUGCUGUAAAGGAACUGACCUUAUAGGUAAAAGAAAAAAAAAAUCACAUGUGAUCAAAAAAGAUCACAUGUUAAAAAUAAAAGUUUCAUGUAGGAAAAAAUACUUGUAAAAGUAAAUCAAUCGUGUGAUAUCAUUAACGAAUCACCUGUGGAAAUAAGAGAUUCAUGUAAAAGCAUCCUAUAUUAAAAUAAAUGAAUCAUGGGGGGUGGGGGGUCAUGAAAAUAUCUGAAUCAUGAAAAAAAAAUUAUGUGAAAGUAAAUGAAUCAUAUGCAAAGUGAAAUAAUGUUUAAAUUCAUGUGAAAACAUCACACCAUUAAUGAGUCAAGGGAACAAAUCAAGUAGAAAUGAAUGAAUCAUGUUGACAAAAUACACAUGAAUAAUACUGCAUCAUGUCUAAAAAAAUUCAUAUUUGUAUAAAGGAAUCAUAUGGGGAAUAAAAUCAGACAUAAAUAAAGGAAUCAUUUUGGUGAAUCACAUGUGGAAAUAAAUUAAUCAUUUGGGGGAAUCACAUGUGGAAAUAAAUGAAUCAUUCAGGGGGAAUCAUGUGGAAAUAAAUGAAUCAUUUGGGGUGACUCACAUGUGGAAAUAAAUGAAUCAUUUGGGGGGAAUCACAUGUGGAAAUUAAUGAAUCAUUUGGGGGGAAUCACAUGUGGAAAUAAAUGAAUCAUUUGCGGGAAUCACGUGUAGAAAUAAAUGAAUCAUUAGUGGGGAUUCACAUGUGGAAAUAAAUGAAUCCUGUAAAAAAAAAAACAGUCAAAAUAAAUAAAUCAU
ensembl:lncRNA